GAUGAACGCUGGCGGCGUGCCUAAUACAUGCGAGUCGAGCGAACAGACGAGGAGCUUGCUCCUCUGACGUUAGCGGCGGACGGGUGAGUAACACGUGGAUAACCUACCUAUAAGACUUGGAUAACUUCGGGAAACCGGAGCUAAUACCGGAUAAUAUAUUGAACCGCAUGGUUCAAUAGUGAAAGACGGUUUUGCUGUCACUUAUAGAUGGAUCCGCGCCGCAUUAGCUAGUUGGUAAGGUAACGGCUUACCAAGGCAACUAUGCGUAGCCGACCUGAGAGGGUGAUCGGCCACACUGGAACUGAGACACGGUCCAGACUCCUACGGGAGGCAGCAGUAGGGAAUCUUCCGCAAUGGGCGAAAGCCUGACGGAGCAACGCCGCGUGAGUGAUGAAGGUCUUCGGAUCGUAAAACUCUGUUAUUAGGGAAGAACAAAUGUGUAAGUAACUAUGCACGUCUUGACGGUACCUAAUCAGAAAGCCACGGCUAACUACGUG
rnacentral:rRNA from 1 species